CACCGGGCGGGCGGAACCACGGCGCGCCGGGGCCACGUCAGCGUCUGAUCCGCACGUAUGGCGGGAUGGGGACGGCGGCCCUGGGAGCCGAGCUGGGCGUGCGGGUCCUGCUCUUUGUGGCUUUCCUGGUGACCGAGCUGCUCCCUCCCUUCCAGCGGCGGAUCCAGCCCGAGGAGCUGUGGCUCUACAGGAACCCGUACGUGGAGGCGGAAUACUUCCCCACCGGCCGCAUGUUUGUCAUUGCCUUUCUCACUCCACUGUCCCUGAUCUUCCUCGCCAAGUUUCUAAGGAAAGCUGACGCUACCGACAGCAAGCAAGCCUGCCUCGCUGCCAGCCUUGCCCUAGCUCUGAAUGGUGUCUUUACCAACAUAAUCAAACUGAUAGUGGGCAGGCCCCGCCCAGACUUCUUCUACCGCUGCUUCCCUGAUGGGCUGGCCCAUUCUGAUCUGACGUGCACGGGGGACGAGGAUGUGGUGAACGAGGGCCGAAAGAGCUUCCCCAGUGGACAUUCUUCCUUUGCAUUUGCUGGUCUGGCCUUUGCUUCCUUCUACCUGGCAGGGAAGUUACACUGCUUCACGCCACAAGGCCGAGGGAAGUCCUGGAGGCUCUGUGCCUUUCUGUCACCUUUACUCUUUGCAGCCGUGAUUGCACUGUCCCGCACGUGUGACUACAAGCACCACUGGCAAGGUGCAUGUCCCCCAAUCAUGGGGGAAGCAAGCAAGUGGCUGUAAUCCUUUCCACCCUCCCCGGCACAGGCUGGUACAAGGACAUGCACAGAUGCUCUCAGCUUUUUAUGAGGGUGCUGGGGAUUUGAACCCAUGUCUUCUUGUUGAUGCAAAUGUGCUAGUUGGCUCCAUGAUUGGAAUGACAUUUGCCUAUGUCUGCUACAGGCAGUACUACCCCCCUCUGACUGACGUAGAGUGCCAUAAACCAUUUCAGGACAAGCACAAACUUCCGUCCUCACAGAAGCCCAGUGAGUUGCACCAUUUGGAAAUUUAGCUGAAUCUACCUCAGUGGAGAACAAGCAGAUCAACCCUCCUAACUGGACAGGACGCACAAGCCAAGGAUUUCUGGCUUGACCUCUUCAGGGUCUAAGUGAGGACACAGCCACACUGUACUUGCCUCCGCAAGGCUGUGCACUUUACCCCACUUCCAAGGCUAGCCCCUGAGGUCUCAGUGCUUGGCCUGGCACGGCUCUGUCAGGACUUCUCUCACUAGGUUAAUCCAUAGGAUUGCUAUUCUAAGACCUAGUGUCUACAGUGAUUAAAUGUCACUCCAGAGGAAACCUUUCCACAAAGGAAGCUUUCAUGACCCCAUUUACCGAACAUAAUCCCUGUCCUUUAUAAAUAAGGGCAGUGCCAGCUAAACUCUGAUUCGGCUUGCUUUUUGUGGUAACAUUCCAUUAAGCCUUAAAUAAUAAAACAUUCAAUUUUGGCCAAUUUUUUACUUUUUACUACAUUAGGAAAGAAAAAUUAGGGAUAUUAUCUAGAAAAUAAAUGCAACACUUUCUGCCUUUGUUCAUAAAGAAAUAAAUGGCGCAACUAGAGGCUAUCACCAGAACUUGGUAUGGAGGACCAACUGAUAGCUACCAUUUUAUUGUUAUUAUACUUUAAAUAAAAGUCUCUCUUAUGUAUUUCUUCCUAUAA